AUGCAGUCGAACGAUGAAGCCCAGCUUGCUGGGUGGAUUAGUGGCGAACGGGUGAGUAACACGUGAGUAACCUGCCCUUGACUCUGGGAUAAGCGUUGGAAACGACGUCUAAUACCGGAUACGAGCUUCCACCGCAUGGUGAGUUGCUGGAAAGAAUUUUGGUCAAGGAUGGACUCGCGGCCUAUCAGCUUGUUGGUGAGGUAACGGCUCACCAAGGCGACGACGGGUAGCCGGCCUGAGAGGGUGACCGGCCACACUGGGACUGAGACACGGCCCAGACUCCUACGGGAGGCAGCAGUGGGGAAUAUUGCACAAUGGGCAAAAGCCUGAUGCAGCAACGCCGCGUGAGGGACGACGGCCUUCGGGUUGUAAACCUCUUUUAGCAGGGAAGAAGCGAAAGUGACGGUACCUGCAGAAAAAGCACCGGCUAACUACGUGCCAGCAGCCGCGGUAAUACGUAGGGUGCAAGCGUUGUCCGGAAUUAUUGGGCGUAAAGAGCUCGUAGGCGGUUUGUCGCGUCUGCUGUGAAAUCCCGAGGCUCAACCUCGGGUCUGCAGUGGGUACGGGCAGACUAGAGUGCGGUAGGGGAGAUUGGAAUUCCUGGUGUAGCGGUGGAAUGCGCAGAUAUCAGGAGGAACACCGAUGGCGAAGGCAGAUCUCUGGGCCGCUACUGACGCUGAGGAGCGAAAGGGUGGGGAGCA
rnacentral:rRNA from 1 species